ensembl:lncRNA
GAUGUCUAACGUUAUCUGAAUCAAGCAAACAAGUGCUCUAAUGAUAACUAGCUACCUGAGCCUGCAAUGUCUUACCUGGUCAGCAUUUAAAAAGCCAUAUUUGCGUCAGAUCUCUUCGGAUCUCGGAGCUGUCGCCACGCCGAUAUUUACUCUCGUAUCAAACCUCUGUCGCGUUCUCUUUUUGAUUGCACUGUUCUUAAUUUUGACAACAUCUUCCCCAGAUGUUAACGAUGAUUGCCUUUUGGAUUUAUCAAUUAAAUAAGCCACCAAGAAGACAAGUGUAAAGUUCUAAGCAACUAAUGUAAACACAAGUUACAAACGCUCCACACACGACAUUUAGUACGGACGUGACGUAGCCACGCAAAGACGAAUGAAUAGGCCGAAGGAGCAGCUGGUGUCGGGUGUCUGGGUGAGAGUUGCCCAUGAUGGGCAUGAAGAUCACCAUGGGUACCGACAGUUGGGCCUGCAAAAACAAAGAUUAUGCCAUGGAGCCGGAAUGUGAGGGGCGGCGAUAUCACUGUCUGAAAAAGAGGGAAGAAGAAAGGAAGAGACGAGAUGAAGAAUUAGUUGCUGAUUAACUUCAUGACAAUUGACGACUUCGAGGAGGAUCCUCCACAUAACGUACUACGCUUCGUCCCGAUGAGGAGACGGCUGCUUUACAAGGGAAAGGGGGUGCAAUUUACAUGGGUGGGACCACCAGUCCGGACAUAGCUGAAAGAGAAAGAGAAACAAUUUUAGCACGGGAGGUCCCGAGACGCCACAUAGAAGACAAAAAAAGAACACAGCAGUAAGUAUGUCACUCGCAUUUCACAAAAUACUCGACUCGAAAGGCGCUGGGGAUGCUUGUAAAAUGGAGUCUGUUGCUGUCGGGGGCCGACGGGGGAGGGUUGGGAGUGAUUGAGUGAAAUGUGCUUCACCGACAAGACGUGCUGGAAGGACUUCACUUUUUGAAAGAGGAGCUUUCUGACAUUUUGAGGAGAAAGCAUCCUGGCUCCCACAUGUGUGAUAUUUCUCUUAGCGUUUUGUUAAUGGCAAACAGUGGGCCAGACUCCCAGGAGAGGGUCCCUGCUGACAGCCGUGAAACAACAUGGUCACUUCUGCUAACGUCACGUAGACCCGCGGUCUCCCCUCCUCAGUCAGCAACCAGACACCCCUCGGCUUUGCCCAAAUUGAAAUCUUUCGCCUCGCUCCCUCCUGCCAUUACUGGAGCCGAGUGGAUGGUGGAAAACCAUUUGCAUUCUUCUGUCAGCCCGUAUUUCUCCCCCCUCAAUCUCUCCUUAUCGUGACAUCUAAAGAAGGCUGGACUAGGUCGUCGCACGCCCACCUCUCGGCCCGCCCAAAUGUGGAGAUUGAUGUACUCGCUCAUUUCCCGCAAUUAGGUGUCUAGUGAAGUGCCAGGGGAGGGCAAACGGGAAGGAAAGCUCUUUUGCCGCUUUCAACUUAUUUGUAGAGUCAUGCUUGGAGUGUUUUUAAGUUUGCCAAGGCAUCUGAUGUUGUGGCAUUCCUCAUUAAUUUCUGCAAACCACAUAUUAAUAAGUAUAUGCAUGUAGCGGCAUGAACUUUAAUUUCUCAGUUCAUUAGGUCUAACAUUAUUAAUCUCGCUUGCACACACUAUGGCUAAAACAUGUUUUCAAAGCAAACAACUGGGCCUUGACGGAGAGCAAAUACGAGCGCACUAAACAGCCAGAGUAAAGUCUUUAAUUUGCCGAACGAUGCCGCCCUGCCGAGAAUACCAUGAGCUCUCUUGCCCUCUCGCUCUUACUUCUUAUAAUCACAUUCAACCUGGGUUAUAAUCACUUCUUCUGCUGUUAAGUUCCUC